GGGAGUAAUGGCUGAUCCCAGCAGUCAGCAGGACGGACAGGAAAAGACAGGAGGAACUAAAAUGUAUCAUCAGUUUACUUAAUAAGUGCUGCAUGGCGCUCAGCAUUUUUUAAAUGUUUCUUCUUUUAAUUCCAUUCAACAGUCCUAUUAAGAACUAUCUACAUUCCAUUUUACAGAUCGAGAAUUGGAAGGCAAGAGGGUUUAAGACAUUUUUCCAUGGAAACUAAGCUAACAAGUGACUGAGCUGAGACUGGAACCGAAGUUUGCUUGACUUUGUGGAAUUCAAGCUUUUAAGUGCUAUGUAACGACUCUCUCAAAUAUGUCGGGAGAAGGAAUAAGAGCUCUCUUGGAUAUAUACUCUUGCCUCCAGUGACAGUCAGUGCUGGUCAGAUGCUCACUCAUGACAGCUCAACACAGAGAAAGAAGCAGCACCCUGUGAUCCCUGACCCCAUAAUCUAGUGUCAUUCACAUCAACACUCAACUUCCUCAGUGCUGGAGCCAGCCUAAUGCAAAGGAAGGCCAGCUGCAGAGUCAAGUGAAGAUGACGAAAUGGAAAGAGGAAAGGUCUGUUCUGCUCCAUCAAUACCUGAGUCCAGGACUCCAGUGCAUAUUCUGCAUCAUAUUCUAGGAAGAGUCAAAGAGAGUCCACACAUACUGAAACUGAAAGACUCCGUUCCAUGCCUGGGAAAAGGACUGUUCCUGUUUCAAUAGGCAGGAACACUAGCGUAGACCAGUGGUUCUCAAACUUUAUCAUGCGUCAGAAUCACCUGGAGGACUUUUUAAAGCACGGGUGAUGGGCCUAAACCCCAGACUUUCUGGUACAGAAAGUCUAGAGUGAGGUCCAAGAUUUUAUCUUUCUGAGGAGUUCCCACAUGGUGCCUUAUGCUGGUGAUCUGGGACCACGCUUUGAAAACUACUGAUGUAGAGGUUGAGAUCACAGGCUUUAAUGUCAGACAGACUCAGCUUCCUAUCCUAGUUCUUCCAUGUGCACGACCCUGGGGAAAUUACAUUACUCCUCCAAACCUUGGUCUCUUCAGCUAUAAAAUGGGCCCAACUCACAGUGUUCUUUUGUGGAUUCAAUAAGAUGAUGCAUGUAAAUUUCUUAUCCUUGUGCUCCAAUGUAGCAAGCAUUUUGUAAAUGUUAGCUAAUUUUUAAUAGUAUUUUUUUUUUUUUUGCCUUCCUUGGCAAUAGUUUGCCUUACUUAUAAACUGUUUUAAUAAGCUAGUAGCUGGAGAAAAAGGACAAAUACUAGGAAACACAAGCGUUCAGUAACAGAUAUGAUUUCCAUUUAAGUCGCAAUGGGUAAUCAGAUUACAUUGCACAUUGUUGCUAUACAGGCUGCAUAAGAAUCACCUGGAGGAAUUGCUAAAACUAUAUAUGGUGGGUCUCACUCUCCAAAAUUCUGAUUCAGUAAGUCAAGGGAGAGGCUUUGGAAACUAUUUUUAAAAAGCUCCCCAAACUAUUCUGCUGUGCUUCCAUGUGUGCAAACCACUGGUGCUAGCUAUCAGAUUGCUUUCCAACUUCUAAGGAUGUGUUCUCAGCCUUGGUUGAACAUUAGAAUCCUCUGGGGAGUUUUCAAAAAUCCCAAUGGUCAGGCUUUACCCCAGACCAAUUACAUCAGAAUCUCUGUGGGUUGGAUCCUGGUAUCAGUGACUUUGUUUUCAGAGUUACUAUUCUCAGCCACUUUUGAGAAUCUUUCUUAAAGGGGACAGAGAGAUGGAUGAAGAUGAGCUGGCAAAAAGUAAUUUUGAAACACUGGGCACUUCUGUAUUAGGCAAGACCUGAUCUUGGUGAUAAUGAAGUAUUGAUCAUCAGAAGGGAUUAUAAGGACACUGAAAGUCCUUAUGAAGACAUUAGGUAUUAGGAGAUGGUAGAAAGAAUAGCCCUUAAAUUAAGUUUUGCCUGCUUGAAUUUUUCUUGGGGCAGCCAUUGCCUUUUCUAUACCUCAAAUGAGAUGCUGCUUCAUGUCUGAUAGUUAUGUGUCCCUCAUUACAAAGUCGGAGCAAACAUUUUUGUUUUGCCUGUGAUGGGCUGGACACUAUGGUAAGUAUUUUCAUAUAUGUAACCUUAUUAGAACCACAGACCAUCAGUGUGAAAUAUAUAUUAUUUUCCCCACUUUACAGAUGAAACAACAUGAGCUCAAACAGGAGGCGUAACUUGCUCACAGUCACACAAGUAGUAAGUUUCAUGAUUAUAACCAGGCCCCACAUAUGCAAUUCAGUAGUGACACUUCAUUAAAAUAGCCUCAAUUUUUAUUCCUCAAGUUCCUCUUAAAUAUUUGCAAACUGCUUUCCUACAGGAUGAGAUCAAAAUCAAGUGUCAACAGAAGAGAUGAGAGGACUUAUUCUUGACCAUAGGCAGGAAAUCGAGUCUGUUCUCUUUCUCCAGGAAAGGAUUAUGCAGCAUCAGCACAAAAUGUCCUUUUGUAGUUCUGUUUACCAUGUGCCUGAGAGAGAGAGUUCUGAAAAGAGCUUAGCUUUUAUAAAAUUAAUGUGCUUACCUUCUUAUAUAUUUGAUUGCCCCAGAGUUUUCCAUCAUCUCCUUACCUUUUACAAU